rnacentral:rRNA from 1 species
AUUGAACGCUGGCGGCAGGCCUAACACAUGCAAGUCGAACGAGUGGCGGACGUGUGAGUCAUGUCUGGGAAACUGCCUGAUGGAGGGGGAUAACUACUGGAAACGGUCGCUAAUACCGCAUACCAUCGGAUGUGCCCAGAUGGGAUUAGCUAGUAGGUGGGGUAAAGGCUCACCUAGGCGACGAUCCCUAGCUGGUCUGAGAGGAUGACCAGCCACACUGGAAAGGAGACACGGUCCAGACUCCUACGGGAGGCAGCAGUGGGGAAUAUUGAACAAUGGGCGCAAGCCUGAUACAGCCAUGCCGCGUGUAUGAAGAAGGCCUUCGGGUGGUAAAGAACUUUCAGCGGGGAGGCGUUACCCGCAGAAGAAGCACCGGCUAACUCCGUGCCAGCAGCCGCGGUAAUAC